rnacentral:rRNA from 1 species
UACGUAGGGGGCAAGCGUUGUCCGGAAUCAUUGGGCGUAAAGAGCGUGUAGGCGGCUCGGUAAGUCCGCUCUGAAAGCCCGGGGCUCAACCCCGGGAGGCGGGCGGAUACUGUCGGGCUAGAGUCCGGAAGAGGCGAGUGGAAUUCCUGGUGUAGCGGUGAAAUGCGCAGAUAUCAGGAGGAACACCAAUGGCGAAGGCAGCUCGCUGGGACGGUACUGACGCUGAGACGCGAAGCGUGGGGAGCAAACAGG